rnacentral:misc_RNA from 1 species
UGCACAAUUAAACUAGUUUGGCAGCGUUGGUUGCAGGCGUGCAGAAGUGAAUGCUUGUACGAUUGUGAACGAACUUGUGUUUACAAAGUCGUCAGAGAAUAUUCGUUUUUAAAAUGGCAAGUUUUCCUCAAAGACAAAUGCAAGAUGAAAUGGAAAGGUUUGAAGCAGAAAUCUCUAACUCAACAUCCAAACCUAGCAUUCCCCCUCUUUUAAAACCAAACAUGGUACGACCCGCUUCUGGUACACCUGGAGCAUUUCAGCAAAAAUUCCAACCACCCACACAUUUUUUGCCAACCCAACUUCAAAGGGCUGGAGUUAGACCAGCUGCGCCAGCUUCUUCAUCUCAAACGUUUUCCUCUACCACAUCAGUACAACCUCCAAGCCAGGCUUCUAGUGUUGGAACAGCCAUUAUCAGUAACAAACCUGUUCUUUACCUUCCUGAUAAAGAAGCUAAAUCGACAUCUGCAACUCCAAAUACUGCUGCAAGUUUGACUAAAGCCCCACAACCAGCCAAAAAACAGAAAGUUGAGGCUAAAUCCCCUACUAAAGUUGCACCAAGUUCUUCGGGUGGUCCAUCUAUUUUGAGGGCUCCAUCCUCUACAGUUGGUUCAGCCACUGUUAAAGCUGGGACUGAGGAGCCCAAAGUACAAAAAAUGAAGAAACCCAAAAAAUUUGUAAGAGCAGCUGGUGGCACUGUUUGGCAAGAUGACUCCCUUCUUGAGUGGGAUCCAAACGAUUACAGAAUCUUUUGCGGAGAUCUCGGAAAUGAUGUGACUGAUGAAGUAUUAGCUCGCGUUUUCGGAAAAUUCCCAUCUUUUCAAAAAGCUAAAGUGAUCAGAGAUGCCCGUUCCAACAAAACAAAAGGCUUCGGCUUCGUUAGCUUCAAAGAUCCGACGGAUUUCACGCGAGCCAUGAGAGAAAUCAACGGCAAGUACGUGGGCAGCCGUCCCAUCAAAUUGCGCAAAAGCAAUUGGAAGAACCGCAACAUUGAUGAAGUGAAAAAGCGUCAAAAGGAGAAGGAUGUCUUACUUGGCAAGCGUCGAUGAUUGUAACUUUUUUUUUCCCCCUUCUCAAAUCGUACGUUGGUCAGUUUAUCACACCUUUGAUUUUUGAAAAUGCUGGCAGUUUGUUAGAAAAAUUGACUUACGCCGCUUCAAAUAGUGCCCUGUGGCGAAGAUUGCGAUAUGUCGCUACUAACUCAAUUUCGUGACGACGCGAUUAGAAGACUUCGUGGAAACCAUUCAUCAGGAAUCGGAAACGGCGCAAACGGACAGACUUGCUAAGAAACCAACUACUCCAUUAAGUAAUUAAAAGACAGCGAACUUUCCCCCGCUCAAGUUGCUUCGCCAAACCGGUAUUUAACUUAUUAAGGUGAUACUAUUUAGGCUGAAAGGAAGCAUAUUCGCUAACCCUCAUAAGGAAAGCUGCUUGGUCCAAAUAAAAGUUGCCUAUAGCCUUUCAUCUAAUUUUAGAGACUGACAUGUCUAACGUAAUGAAGAACGCCAUGAAACUCUAAUUGGGAGACAUGCGACGGUAAAUUGAAAUGAACGAACGUCACAUACAGCAUUUUUAAAAAGUACUAGGCAGCUGCAACUCCAAGGCGAUUCACCGGAAAACAUCGUCGACUUGAUCAAGAAGACCACGUAAAACAAAAAAAAAAAAUAUAUGUAUGAAAGUGAAAGGUUUCAAACGUCGUAACAAAAAAGAGUUCAACGAGAAGAAAAAAGGUAGAUCCCCAUUUUUAUUACCAACGCACGUCUCCGCCGAUAUUUUUGACAUUGCCGUUGCACUUGUAACUGAAUUUGCAUAAGCGACAAUCCUUCAAGAUGAAAUCGUCGAGGCAAUGGCACAGUUUGUCAGAAUUUGACAGAUUGUCGAAAUCCACCUACGCAUCAAUCCGUAGCCAUUUUUUUCUAUUACGCGUGAAAUAUCGCUAUUCGUUUUAAUGCGCUGCAUUGUUAGAGACUUAUGUAUCGUUAAAUUCACUUUUCGUGCUUAGUGUUAUGUAAUUCGCUUUGCUCUGUGGGGAAUCCAAAAAAUUUGAAACUCUCGUCAUAGAGCGACUAAACAAAAGAACAGUGUAAGGACUAUAUCGUCUGCAUUAAUUAUGGAAAAAGCUGGGAUUCUGCUUACGGCGUACGUCGCGAACGUUAUGUUCGGUGCCAUUAGAAAUGCGCUUAGCAGAGCUGGAAACAAGACUCCAAUAAUUGUUUGGUCCGUCUACGUCAGUGUCGGCUGCGGCUUACAGAGAGACGGCCUCACACAAUUCAAUCAACGAGAGUAUACUGUGACUUGGUUUUUUCCCCAUUCACUGUCGUCCUGUACAGCUGGAAGAAAAACAGUUUUUUUUAUGACAUUACGGGGAUCACAUCAGAUAAACUUGAAUUGCACCCGUGAAGAGUGAACUAUUUAUUACUGGGCAUUCGCUCUUUUGAAAUCACAAGUGGCUUUCUUUUUAUUUCGUCAGGUUAGCAUGAUCAAGAAUUUGGGUAACUAACCGACAUUUACUUUCCAUAAGGAAAAAG